rnacentral:miRNA from 1 species
AACACUUCUAUGUUGCAAAAGACUGUAUUUUGCAACGCUCAAAAAAUGUUGCAAAAGAUCAUAUUUUGCAACAUUUUUUGAGCGUUGCAAAAAUUUAGA